rnacentral:rRNA from 1 species
GACGAACGCUGGCGGCGUGCCUAACACAUGCAAGUCGAACGAGGUCCAUGCAGUGGCAACACUGCGGGAGACCUAGUGGCGAACGGGUGAGUAACACGUGAGGAACCUGCCCCGAAGACCGGGAUAACCCUCCGAAAGGAGAGCUAAUACCGGAUACCCCCACCGGAUCGCAUGAUCUGGUGAGGCAAUGGAUUCCGCUUCGGGAGGGCCUCGCGGCCUAUCAGCUAGUUGGUGGGGUAACGGCCCACCAAGGCAUCGACGGGUAGCUGGUCUGAGAGGACGAUCAGCCACACUGGGACUGAGACACGGCCCAGACUCCUACGGGAGGCAGCAGUGGGGAAUCUUGCGCAAUGGGCGAAAGCCUGACGCAGCAACGCCGCGUGGGGGAUGAAGGCUCUCGGGUUGUAAACCCCUUUCAGCAGGGACGAAUCAGAACGGUACCUGCAGAAGAAGCCCCGGCUAACUACGUGCCAGCCGCCGCGGUAAUAC